AUACGUAUUUGUCAGGGGAGAUACCAUGAUCACGAAGGUAGUUUUCCCAGGUCAAGGCUCAUCCAUUGCACUCUGGAUGUGCUGACCCCUGUGAUUUCCCCAAAUGUAGGAAACUCGACUGCAUAAUUUGUGGUAGUGGGGGACUGCGUUUGCACUUUCUCCUA
rnacentral:snRNA from 1 species